rnacentral:rRNA from 1 species
CCUACGGGCGGCAGCAGUGGGGAAUAUUGGACAAUGGGCGAAAGCCUGAUCCAGCCAUGCCGCGUGUGUGAAGAAGGCCUUCGGGUUGUAAAGCACUUUCAGUGGGGGAGAAAGCCUUGGGGCUAAUACCCUCGAGGAAGGACAUCACCCACAGAAGAAGCACCGGCUAACUCCGUGCCAGCAGCCGCGGUAAUACGGAGGGUGCGAGCGUUAAUCGGAAUUACUGGGCGUAAAGCGCGCGUAGGCGGUCUGAUAAGCCGGUUGUGAAAGCCCCGGGCUCAACCUGGGAACGGCAUCCGGAACUGUCAGGCUAGAGUGCAGGAGAGGAAGGUAGAAUUCCCGGUGUAGCGGUGAAAUGCGUAGAGAUCGGGAGGAAUACCAGUGGCGAAGGCGGCCUUCUGGACUGACACUGACGCUGAGGUGCGAAAGCGUGGGUAGCAAACAGGAUUAGAUACCCGAGUAGUC